GGCAUAGCUCAGUGGUAGAGCAUCUGCUUUGGAAGCAGAAGGUCUCCAGUUCAAUUCCCCAUCGCAUCU